rnacentral:rRNA from 1 species
UCGUGAAUUCAUCUCCGGGGGUAGAGCACUGUUUCGGCAAGGGGGUCAUCCCGACUUACCAACCCGAUGCAAACUGCGAAUACCGGAGAAUGUUAUCACGGGAGACACACGGCGGGUGCUAACGUCCGUCGUGAAGAGGGAAACAACCCAGACCGCCAGCUAAGGUCCCAAAGUCAUGGUUAAGUGGGAAACGAUGUGGGAAGGCCCAGACAGCCAGGAUGUUGGCUUAGAAGCAGCCAUCAUUUAAAGAAAGCGUAAUAGCUCACUGGUCGAGUCGGCCUGCGCGGAAGAUGUAACGGGGCUAAACCAUGCACCGAAGCUGCGGCAGCGACGCUUAUGCGUUGUUGGGUAGGGGAGCGUUCUGUAAGCCUGCGAAGGUGUGCUGUGAGGCAUGCUGGAGGUAUCAGAAGUGCGAAUGCUGACAUAAGUAACGAUAAAGCGGGUGAAAAGCCCGCUCGCCGGAAGACCAAGGGUUCCUGUCCAACGUUAAUCGGGGCAGGGUGAGUCGACCCCUAAGGCGAGGCCGAAAGGCGUAGUCGAUGGGAAACAGGUUAAUAUUCCUGUACUUGGUGUUACUGCGAAGGGGGGACGGAGAAGGCUAUGUUGGCCGGGCGACGGUUGUCCCGGUUUAAGCGUGUAGGCUGGUUUUCCAGGCAAAUCCGGAAAAUCAAGGCUGAGGCGUGAUGACGAGGCACUACGGUGCUGAAGCAACAAAUGCCCUGCUUCCAGGAAAAGCCUCUAAGCAUCAGGUAACAUCAAAUCGUACCCCAAACCGACACAGGUGGUCAGGUAGAGAAUACCAAGGCGCUUGAGAGAACUCGGGUGAAGGAACUAGGCAAAAUGGUGCCGUAACUUCGGGAGAAGGCACGCUGAUAUGUAGGUGAAGCGACUUGCUCGUGGAGCUGAAAUCAGUCGAAGAUACCAGCUGGCUGCAACUGUUUAUUAAAAACACAGCACUGUGCAAACACGAAAGUGGACGUAUACGGUGUGACGCCUGCCCGGUGCCGGAAGGUUAAUUGAUGGGGUUAGCGGUAACGCGAAGCUCUUGAUCGAAGCCCCGGUAAACGGCGGCCGUAACUAUAACGGUCCUAAGGUAGCGAAAUUCCUUGUCGGGUAAGUUCCGACCUGCACGAAUGGCGUAAUGAUGGCCAGGCUGUCUCCACCCGAGACUCAGUGAAAUUGAACUCGCUGUGAAGAUGCAGUGUACCCGCGGCAAGACGGAAAGACCCCGUGAACCUUUACUAUAGCUUGACACUGAACAUUGAGCCUUGAUGUGUAGGAUAGGUGGGAGGCUUUGAAGUGUGGACGCCAGUCUGCAUGGAGCCGGCCUUGAAAUACCACCCUUUAAUGUUUGAUGUUCUAACGUUGGCCCCUGAUCGGGGUUGCGGACAGUGUCUGGUGGGUAGUUUGACUGGGGCGGUCUCCUCCUAAAGAGUAACGGAGGAGCACGAAGGUUGGCUAAUCCUGGUCGGACAUCAGGAGGUUAGUGCAAUGGCAUAAGCCAGCUUGACUGCGAGCGUGACGGCGCGAGCAGGUGCGAAAGCAGGUCAUAGUGAUCCGGUGGUUCUGAAUGGAAGGGCCAUCGCUCAACGGAUAAAAGGUACUCCGGGGAUAACAGGCUGAUACCGCCCAAGAGUUCAUAUCGACGGCGGUGUUUGGCACCUCGAUGUCGGCUCAUCACAUCCUGGGGCUGAAGUAGGUCCCAAGGGUAUGGCUGUUCGCCAUUUAAAGUGGUACGCGAGCUGGGUUUAGAACGUCGUGAGACAGUUCGGUCCCUAUCUGCCGUGGGCGCUGGAGAACUGAGGGGGGCUGCUCCUAGUACGAGAGGACCGGAGUGGACGCAUCACUGGUGUUCGGGUUGUCAUGCCAAUGGCACUGCCCGGUAGCUAAAUGCGGAAGAGAUAAGUGCUGAAAGCAUCUAAGCACGAAACUUGCCCCGAGAUGAGUUCUCCCUGAGACUUUAAGUCUCCUGAAGGAACGUUGAAGACGACGACGUUGAUAGGCCGGGUGUGUAAGCGCAGCGAUGCGUUGAGCUAACCGGUACUAAUGAACCGUGAGG